UGGAGAUAAGAGCCAGGGGAGGAGGAGACGGCUCCACCAUGUCCCCUCGCUUGGCCUCAUUGACCGGCCCAUGGCACCGGCCAGGUCUGGACCAAUCAGCAAAGUUCACCAGGGGCAUCCCUAAACCCCUCCACCCAUUUGUGAAGCUGAGGCUUGCCACUCGUAACACCAUCACCUACGACUCACCGGUCAUGUCUGACCUGGGUGCGGAUCGGAGAUAGCAUUCGUGUCUGCUAGGCCAAGGGGUAUCUGAUGGCCAUGUGACCUACGUGGAGGAGAUUGGCG